GCAAAAAAUCCAAUAUUUUUUUAUAUUUGUAACGACACAUAAAAUAGCCAAAACGCCUCAACCAUAAAGUUUAUUUGGGCUUUAUGGAUCACAAAACCACACACAUACCCUUAAUAAGCAACAAUAAUUGUUUUCAUGAAUAAUCCGUUUCGAAAAUAUGUGUAUAGACUAAUGGUUAAAAUCCAUAACGUCUCACACAUAAAAUAAAUAAUUUAUGAACAUAUAACUAAUACGCAUACGAGUCGAGCGAGGGAGCACGACAGAGCGGAAGAAAAUCAAAAUGGCUAAACUCGUCCAACAGUGAGGUAUUCGCUGCUCCGAAAUUUUGCAUCCGGAAAAUUUAACCAACAUGCAACUUGAACGUAUCCGACUACUGCACCAAAAGUCAAGUACCGAGCGGGCGAGAGUGGAUGGCGGCGAUACAACUUACUGGUUCAUCAUUUGGGAAACGGAAAUUGCCCUGGAAUUCGCAUUAUACAAGCCCAUUCGGCAUGAUCAAUAUGCGUUGGUAUAAUGAUACCAUCGCCACAGUAGUGCGACGGGUUAUCCGCAGUAGCAGCAGGUACCGACUGAACAGCAGACCAGUAAUAAGAAGAUGCGUCGGAAUAUUAUUUAUUGAUCAGCUGGAAAGUCAUACGACUGGUACGACGGCAACGAGGAUGCUUCUGCAGCACCAAACUAUUUGCAAACACGAAACCAAAUCUCUAUAGCCAGGCAUGGCAUGAACAUCAAACACGAGCCUUCCAAUAUAAACAUCGUCAUAUGUGCGCCAUCCCAAUUGCUUCGUCAAGGAUAUUGUCAAAAGUCUCCAGUUGAUGAAUAAGUUGGUGGCAUCUAGAUCUCUGCCAAGCAAGCCAAAGCAGCGAAUCUCUAAUAAAUCUAAGCAGCAGUAUACCGUAAAUCUGCUGUAUAGACCGUCGAGCGGAAGUUUUCAACCGGUGGCAGCGGGAUUAAAUCAAAUCAGCGAGCAAACGCACAGUGGAAAGACUUUCAUGAAUAAUAGCAUAAAUAGUGCACUGAUGAUGACUCUGCAGCGCUACGAUCCAGCAACCCAGUAACUUUUUACGCACCGUAGUAUGGGUGUAUCGGUUCUGGCUCAGGAUAUUAGGGCACAAGACAAAAACACUCCGAUUUUUUGCUCACAAAGAACAUGAAACGACGAUAAAGUUUUUCUUUCGCACAAUAAAGGUGAGAUUUCUCCAACUCCAGCAAACAAGUUUGGUACACCCU